rnacentral:rRNA from 1 species
AUACGGAGGAUCCGAGCGUUAUCCGGAUUUAUUAGGUUUAAAGGGUGCGCAGGCGGAACUGUAAGUCACCGGUGAAAUCCUACAGCUUAACUGUAGAACUGCCGGUGAUACUGCGAUUCUUGAGUAUAGUUGAGGUAGGCGGAAUGUGUAGUGUAGCGGUGAAAUGCAUAGAUAUUUCACAGAACACCGAUUGCGAAGGCAGCUUACUAAACUAUUACUGACGCUCAUGCACGAAAGCGUGGGGAGCGAACAGGAUUAGAUACCCGAGUAGUCC